CCUACGGGAGGCAGCAGUGAGGAAUAUUGGUCAAUGGCCGAGAGGCUGAACCAGCCAAGUCGCGUGAGGGAAGACGGCCCUACGGGUUGUAAACCUCUUUUGUCGGGGAGCAAAGAGAGUCACGUGUGACUCAUUGAGAGUACCCGAAGACACAGCAUCGGCUAACUACGUGCCAGCAGCCGCGGUAAUACGUAGGGAGCGAGCGUUGUCCGGAUUUACUGGGUGUAAAGGGCGUGCAGCCGGGAGUACAAGUCAGAUGUGAAAUCCCGCGGCUCAACCGCGGAACUACAUUUGAAACUGUAUUUCUUGAGGACUGGAGAGGCAGACGGAAUUCCUAGUGUAGCGGUGAAAUGCGUAGAUAUUAGGAGGAACACCAGUGGCGAAGGCGGUCUGCUGGACAGCAACUGACGGUGAGGCGCGAAAGCGUGGGGAGCAAACAGGAUUAGAUACCCUUGUAGUC
rnacentral:rRNA from 1 species